CCUACGGGUGGCUGCAGUGGGGAAUUUUGGACAAUGGGGGCAACCCUGAUCCAGCCAUGCCGCGUGCGGGAAGAAGGCCUUCGGGUUGUAAACCGCUUUUGUCAGGGAAGAAAUCUUCCGAGCUAAUACCUUGGGAGGAUGACGGUACCUGAAGAAUAAGCACCGGCUAACUACGUGCCAGCAGCCGCGGUAAUACGUAGGGGGCAAGCGUUAAUCGGAAUUACCGGGGGUGGUUCUGGAAGACACGUGUGAAAGCCCCGGGCUUACCCUGGGAACUGCACUUGUGACUGUACGGCUGGAGUACGGCAGAGGGGGAUGGAAUUCCGCGUGUAGCAGUGAAAUGCGUAGAUAUGCGGAGGAACACCGAUGGCGAAGGCAGUCCCCUGGGCCUGUACUGACGCUCAUGCACGAAAGCGUGGGGAGCAAACAGGAUUAGAUACCCUUGUAGUC
rnacentral:rRNA from 1 species